ensembl:lncRNA
AACUUAGUCAGCCAAUACAGCAUUGUCUUUUCUGGAUUUUGGCCAAAUGUAGGCUACUUAAAAAAAAAAAAAAAAAAUCUAUCAACACUUUAAAGACAAAAAAGUAUUUUUAAGAUAUUUAAAAAUGUUUGCUGCAUUGUUAAAAAAAGAAACUACAACACGUAUAAGAUUGCGUUUUGAGAGUGAAAAAAAAACAAGACGCGACUCACAUCGCAUUUUGAGGCUGUGAUCCCAGAAAUUUUGACACAAUUAAAAAUUAUUGAAAGUCACAUGUUAACAAAAUCUGAAACUAAUUUGGAAUAAAUAUAGCACAAGCAUACAAAAGGAAGUUUGUUAGGUGCUUUAGUUCUAACAAAAAACAAACGAACAAAAAAAGACAAAUUAAGACAAAUAGUAAUGUCACACUUUUUGAAUGUCAAAUGAUAGCACAACAUGUUCACAGUUAAUAUCAUGCACUUGAUAGGAAGUGAGACUUGUGGGCCACGUGAAAUCUGAACUUUUCAUUUUUUCAGUGGUUUUAAACAUGGUAAAAAAGUGCUAAUAGAGUUGUAAGUAGCUGAAAACAUAAUCAUUUUAGGUAUUACAUUAUAUACAUGUAUAUUUUAAUAAGGGACAGGCAACAUGAAGAACUACUGUACUGUAUGUGAAUGAUGAAUGUACCAAAUUUGCAGGGGGCACAGAUUCUGCGUGGGCACGAACAUAGAAGUUAGAAAACAUUACUUAGUUUGAUGUUUUGUUAUUUGCUGCAUUGGCAUAAAUUGUAAGUGUGGCUUAAAUGUCCAAAUACUUUUUUGGGACACUGUAUAAUAGUCUGUGCCAGAGGCAUUUUCUCCAAAGAGACAGCACCAUAUCUGGAUGAGAAAAUAAUGGGCACUGCAAAAAUAAAACAAAAUGAAUAUUACAAAACAUGAGAUGAAAUAGUGUAUACAGCAACUGUACAACACCGACACAAGUUUCACAGGGAGACAAUCUCUCCUUAACAGCAAGAUACAGGUAAAAAGUCAUGUGAGAGGAGGCAGUGUCUCAGUCGCACUUUGACUGGACUUUUACUCUGUCAUCGUGCCUAUUAUGUUCUCCUCAUCACUGAUUGGCUUAUUACCAUGCUAACCAGUGCUUCUCCCAUUGCAAUGCAUCCAACAACAAUAUUUUGCUAUAACCUGAGAAUUGCACUUUCUAAAAUCAAACCAUUAACGCAUAAUUAAAGAUAGUUGAUGAGUACUCAAAAUUCAAGAGUGACCUGCCCGACAUCUCAUUUCAUUUCGAUGCUGCAGAUGUUCUGCAACUAAAUGACUUCAAAAACAUGAUUAGCAAAUGUGAUUUGUAGUCAUGUUGUAAGCAACUCUCUCAUCUCUUCAUUUUCUUCAAACAAAGUAAUGGAGAAGAACUCCCCAUUUACAUUUAUUGGAAUCCCAUUUGCUUUCCAUCUGCUAACUAGCCACCUGUGAAACUAGUUUUUAACAAUCACUGGGGCUCAGGGCCAUCACAUCGUCCCAUAGCCUUUAUUAGUGUUUAUUUUCAGCUAUAAAACUACUGAGGGGGGGCUACAAAGAACCCUUGCAUUGUAAAACAAUGUGAUAGAGCACCUUUGAUGUUGGGAAACUAGGUGUGCUGAAAUGAAAAUCUGAAAUAAAUUCCCUCUCUAAUUAAAAAAAAGGCA